rnacentral:rRNA from 1 species
UGCAGUCGAGCGGUAACAUUUCUAGCUUGCUAGAAGAUGACGAGCGGCGGACGGGUGAGUAAUGCUUGGGAAUAUGCCUUAGGGUGGGGGACAACAGUUGGAAACGACUGCUAAUACCGCAUAACGUCUACGGACCAAAGGGGGCUUCGGCUCUCGCCCUUAGAUUAGCCCAAGUGGGAUUAGCUAGUUGGUGAGGUAAUGGCUCACCAAGGCGACGAUCCCUAGCUGGUUUGAGAGGAUGAUCAGCCACACUGGAACUGAGACACGGUCCAGACUCCUACGGGAGGCAGCAGUGGGGAAUAUUGCACAAUGGGCGCAAGCCUGAUGCAGCCAUGCCGCGUGUGUGAAGAAGGCCUUAGGGUUGUAAAGCACUUUCAGUAAGGAGGAAAGGUUAGUAGUUAAUACCUGCUAGCUGUGACGUUACUUACAGAAGAAGCACCGGCUAACUCCGUGCCAGCAGCCGCGGUAAUACGGAGGGUGCGAGCGUUAAUCGGAAUUACUGGGCGUAAAGCGUACGCAGGCGGUUUGUUAAGCGAGAUGUGAAAGCCCCGGGCUCAACCUGGGAACUGCAUUUCGAACUGGCAAACUAGAGUAUGAGAGAGGGUGGUGGAAUUUCAGGUGUAGCGGUGAAAUGCGUAGAGAUCUGAAGGAAUACCGAUGGCGAAGGCAGCCACCUGGGUCAAUACUGACGCUCAUGUACGAAAGCGUGGGGAGCAAACGGGAUUAGAUACCCCGGUAGUCCACGCCGUAAACGAUGUCUACUAGGAGCUGGGGUCUUCGGACAACUUUU